rnacentral:lncRNA from 1 species
CAGUGACACUGCCUACCAUCUUGAAAGAUUUAAAGCAGUGCUUGUGGGAAGUUUAGAAUGAACUGGAAAGUCACCUUCCAAAACAGAGCACUCCAGCCCCAGAGCACUCCUGUUACCCUGAGUUGAUUGACAUCAACUCCACUACACUGCACUCUGCUGAGGCAAGGGAGAGGAAAGGGGGUGACAGCAACAACGAAAGAAACUCUGACUGCAGCCCUUUGGUAUCUAUGUCGGGAGGCAGAAGCCCUGCCUGAAUCAUCAUCAGUGGAUGAAACCAUUGGACCAAAGGUUGACAGGAAAUUUCACAAAGGAGUGAUCAAGAUGGCCCUAUGUGAACCCAUCAGGCCCUACCCAGUGAAACUUGGCAUCUCUAAGAGUAAGACAACCAGACAUGUGUCUCCUGGUAUGCUGCAUGAGGGAAUACACAGCAUCCCCUAUCAGAUGUUCUUUCCAAAAAGGUUUAACCUAUACUGAAUCAAUCCUGUACAUCUAACUUCCUGUUCAUAGGAAAUACAAGGGUAGAGGAACAAAGUUAAAUGAUCCCACCAGGAAGCAAACAGUGAAAGGCAGAUCAUGGAAUGUUCUACAAUACAAAUGACCUUGUUUUUUUCAACACAUCAUUAGGAUAAAAAAGUAAGAAGAAAAAGGAGGAGAAGGAGAAGAAAAUAAAGGAGAAGAAGGAGGACCUGCUCUAUAUUAAAAGAUGCUUAAGGGACAUAAUAGCCAAAUGCAAUGUAUGGACCUUGUUUGGAUCCUGAUUACAACAAACAGGGGAGGCGGGAGGGGAUUGCGACAAUCAGGGAAACUUGCAUGUGAACUGCUCUGAAAUGAUACCAAAGAAUUAUCAAGUUAGUUUUGUUGAUUAUGAUGUUGGCAUUGGGUUAUGUAAGAAAAUGUCCACAGUUUUUAAAGAUGUGUGCUGAAGUUGUUACCACACAAAAAUGGGGUUCUCCUACUUGAGGUGCAUAAAAAAGUCCAUUGUCUACAGCAUCAGCUUUUUGAAAAAGAAAUCAGCUUUAUUCUGCAAGAUUGAUCAGCAGGGAGCCAGGGGGCAUGUGGCCUCAGCUCUGUCUCCCCAAUUCAGGAUUUGAGGUGAAAUUUAAGAGGUUGGGGAGAACAGGCUGGCACAUGGAAACGCUGGUGGGACAGGUCUUGAUUGGUGAGCUUCAAGCAUUUAUGGUUGACAGGGUUCUAAACAUUUAUGACCGGGUUCUAAACAUUUAUGAUAGGGUGGGGAAAGAAUUUUAACAGUGGAUCUUCCUGAAUGAUGGACCCCUCGCUUCUGAUCUCUGUGAGAAGUGAGAAGUCUCUGUUCUGCAAGAAAAAUAUCAUUUUGUUCAAAGAGAUUAGAAAUGCCCCUUGGAAAAUAUAGUUGUACUUCUAAUACAAUCAUCUAUGCUAAUUCCUGAGUGAAAGCAGGAGAAAAGAAAGUCACCUGUCGGUGUCAUGGACUUCUGAAGCCAGCUCUGAAUAGGCUGAGGCUGAGUUGCUGGGGGAUCCAAGGAACCAAGACUCCACCAUGGAAAAAAAGCAUCUUGAACCAAUCUUUAGUUUGAAAGACAGUGUUGACUACGCAGUCCAGUUUCGCCAGGGCCUGACUGCUUACCAACUUGGAGGUGUAGGUCUAAAUUUCUAAAAUGUGGAAGCUGGUUUCCUAGUAAAUGACAAGACAGGGCGGAAAGAGCAUCGAUCUUAAAACCUGACGAUACAAGGUUCAAAUCUCAGCUUAACACAUAUCUGUGUGAACUAGGUCAGAUUUGUUAUUCUCCGAGCCUCCAUUUCCUUAUUUAGGAAAUGAGAAUAACACCUAGCUUGCAAAGGUUGUGUGAGUUUAUACACACACACAUACACACAGAGAACAUUCUGUUCUGCUACAGUCAUGUUUUUGUAAACAUGAAUUAGCUCACAUGUGAGUGGUAAAUAGUGGAAUAGUGGCAGGAUAACAUAGAAGUCCUGAAGAACUUCACCAGUGAGCUGUUUUCCUCCAUGAGGAAGAGCAGCUGGUCACAGGGUAUAGCUACACAGCUGAAUAUGGCAACUGUGAGGAACAUAGUACUGUCCACAGUGUCUAGUCGCCGCUUACUUUUUUGGCUCAGUUCCAUCCACUGCUCUGCCGAGAAAGUGUUCAUUGCAUGGUUUCCCCAAUCUUUGGGCACGUUGCCCUUGCCACCAUAAUUCAGCAGCCUCACACUCCCCUACACCUCUUCCACCAAGGCAAAUUCACUUCUUAAUUGUUUUUAGGUAAAGCUUUCAGAUUUACUGUAGUAUUUAUUAGAAAUACAACUUUUUAAACUAAUAUUUUAUUAGGAUUGUUAUUUUUGUUGAUGCGCUGGUUAAGAAUUUGUAUGGAUUUUAAG